UUUGCAUGUGAUGACUUGCAAGAUGAUGUGUACAUUGUCUGACACAUCUGUAUGAUAAUAAUUUCAAGAGCUGAGGCUUCA
rfam:Zea mays cultivar B73 chromosome 1, whole genome shotgun sequence.